rnacentral:rRNA from 1 species
AUACUGUUCGCCAGAGAACUACAAGCAAAACCUCGAAACUCCAAGGACUUGGCGGUGCUCCAUACCAACCUAGAGGAGCCUGUCCUAUAAUCGAUACUCCACGUUAAACCCCACCAUCCUUUGCCCCUCAGCCUAUAUACCGCCGUCGAAAGCCUACCUUAUGAAAGCAGCGUAGUAGGCAAAACAGUUAACAACUAACACGUCAGGUCAAGGUGUAGCACAUGAGAUGGAAGAGAUGGGCUACAUUUUCUACCACAGAGCACACGAACGACUCAGUGAAACCUGCACCCAAAGGAGGAUUUAGCAGUAAGAUGGGUAACAAACCCCACCUAAAGCCCGCUCUGGAGCGCGCACACACCGCCCGUCACCCUCAUCACUUUAUCACAUAAAAAUAUAUACAAACCGCAAAGCCAAAGAUGAGGCAAGUCGUAACAUGGUAAGCGUACUGGAAAGUGCGCUUGGAUUUCAAAAAGUAGCUUAAAGAAAAGCACUCAACUUACAAUUGAGCCCUGUUAGCGCAACCCUAACCUAUUUGAGCAAACCAAUUAGCCUAACUACCACUACAAACGCUCGCCAAAAACCAAACAAACCAUUUGAUAACACUAGUAUAUGUGAUAGAAAAUAAACUAAGAGCAAUAAAAACAGUAC